AGCUACUUGGGAGGCUGAGGCAGGAGAAUCACUUGAACCUGGGUGGCGGAGGUUGCAGUGAGGCGAGGUCACGCCAUUGCAUUCCAGCCCAGGCAACAAGAGUGAAAUUCCGCCAAUUAAAAAAAAAAAAACCGUAAAACAAAAAAAGAUAUCAGUAGGAGAAAUAAAGAGAAUAAAACUGCCCAUUAUUAGUCUAUGACAUAUCUAUAUCAAAAACCCAGGAUGUAGAAGGCAGCACAAGAUAACAGAAUAGAAGGCUCCACCAACCAUCCCUCCAACAAGGACACCAAUUUAACAGCUACACACAAAAAAGCACUUUCCCAAGAACCAAAAAUCCCAGCCGGGAGCAGUGGCUCAUGCCUGUAGUUCCAGCUACUCAGGAGGCUGAGGCAGGAGA
rnacentral:lncRNA from 1 species